UCUUGGACCAGAUCAAUAUUGUAAAUAAGAAACUGUUCUUAAUGUUUUAUCUGGAAAAAUAAAGGUUAAAUAUAAAUAAAAAAAGAAGGUAACAUGUAGUUUGUCCCAAGGUGUCUGCCUCCUCACCCAGAGAAAGACCUCCACCUCCUCACCCAGAGCCAGACCGCCACCUCCUGUCAGAAGUCCUCCAGAACAGCUGAAAGGAGAGGCUGGGGACCGGAGGAUUGUGGUGCCAGGAUGGACCAGAGACUGAGGCUGGAGACCAGGGGCCUGCAGCACCGGACCACAGGACCAGGAAUCCAUGGCUGAAGGAGCUGAUGGAGGAGCCGUUUCGAAGGAGCUGAUGGAGAAGCCGUGCUGAAGGCCCUGCCUGGUGAAGGACGUCUGUCGUGGGACCAGGACUCUGUCUGAGGAGAGCUGCUGGAGGAGCCAAGACUCUGGAGGAUGACAUCACUCUACCAACCAGGAUCCUCAGACGUUUGUAACCAGACCAGGAAUCUGGAGGACUGAUGGAGAAGCUGUACAUCUGGAAGGCAAAUCCUGAGGACAACCAGGACUCUACCAUCAAGGAUUCCUCGUAAGUUUGCAUUAUCUGGACAUAGUGG